CCUACGGGAGGCAGCAGUGGGGAAUUUUGCGCAAUGGGGGCAACCCUGACGCAGCAACGCCGCGUGAGUGAUGAAGGCCUUCGGGUCGUAAAGCUCUGUCAGAGGGGAAGAAAUGCAGGUGGUGAACAACCAUUCUGUUUGACGGUACCCUCAAAGGAAGCACCGGCUAACUCCGUGCCAGCAGCCGCGGUAAUACGGAGGGUGCGAGCGUUGUUCGGAAUUAUUGGGCGUAAAGCGCGUGUAGGCGGUUUGUUAAGGUGGAGGUAAAAGCCCAGGGCUCAACCUGGAAAGUGCAUUGGAUACUGGCAGACUUGAGUACGGGAGAGGAGAGGGGAAUUCCCAGUGUAGGAGUGAAAUCCGUAGAUAUUGGGAGGAACACCGGUGGCGAGGGCGGCUCUCUGGACCGAUACUGACGCUGAGACGCGAAAGCGUGUGGAGCAAACAGGAUUAGAUACCUUGGUAGU
rnacentral:rRNA from 1 species